AAUAUUGCACAAUGGAGGAAACUCUGAUGCAGCGACGCCGCGUGAACGAUGAAGGCCUUCGGGUCGUAAAGUUCUGUCCUAGGGGACGAUAAUGACGGUACCCUAGGAGGAAGCCCCGGCUAACUACGUGCCAGCAGCCGCGGUAAUACGUAGGGGGCUAGCGUUGUCCGGAUUUACUGGGCGUAAAGGGUGAGUAGGCGGUAACGUGUGUCAGAUGUUUAAUCUAUGGGCUCAACCCAUAUCAGCAUUUGAAACUACGUAACUUGAGUGCAGGAGAGGUAAGUGGAAUUCCUAGUGUAGCGGUGGAAUGCGUAGAUAUUAGGAGGAACACCAGUGGCGAAGGCAGCCCCCUGGGAUAAUACUGACGCUCAGACACGAAAGCGUGGGGAGCAAACAG
rnacentral:rRNA from 1 species